rnacentral:rRNA from 1 species
GAUGAACGCUGGCGGCGUGCCUAAUACAUGCAAGUCGAGCGAUCAGACGCGGCUCUUUCUCCUCUUUCGUUAGCGACGGACGGGUGAGUCGCACGUAGCUAACCUACCUCUCAGACUUAGAUACCUUCGGGAAACCGUAGUUCAUACCGUAUCAUAUCUUUACCCGCAUUGUUCAAUAGUGAAAGACUGUUUUGCUGUCGCUUAUAGAUGGUUCCGCGCCGCAUUAGCUAGUUGGUAAGGUAACGGCUUCCCAAGGCAACGAUGCGUAGCCGAACUGCGAGGGUGAUCGGCCACACGGGAACUGAGACGCGGUCAAGACUACUACGGGAGGCAGCAGUAGGGAAUGUGACGCAAUGGGCGAAAGCAUGACGGAGCAACGCCGCGUGAGUGAUGAAGGUCUUCGGAGAGGAAAACUCUGUUAUGAGGGAAGAACAAAUGUGUAAGGAAAAAUGGACGAAGUGACGGUACCUAAACAGAAAGCCACGGCUAACUACGUG